rnacentral:snoRNA from 2 species
ACAACUUUACUUGAACAGGAUCUAUUCUAUAGGUUCGUACCUCUGCGUCCUUAAGUUCUAGGGAGUCAGGGGGUGAAGUCUGGUGGGCGAACCGUGACCCUAUGAUCAAGGCGUGACUAAUGGUGGUAUGGAUGGUCACAGGGUUGUUUGACAGUUU